rnacentral:rRNA from 1 species
AUGCACGCUGGCGGCGUGCCUAAUACCUGCAAGUCGCGCGAACAGACGAGGAGCUUGCUCCUCUGACGUUAGCGGCGGACGGGUGAGUAACACGUGGAUAACCUACCUAUAAGACUGGGAUAACUUCGGGAAACCGGAGCUAAUACCGGAUAAUAUAUUGAACCGCAUGGUUCAAUAGUGAAAGACGGUUUUGCUGUCACUUAUAGAUGGAUCCGCGCCGCAUUAGCUAGUUGGUAAGGUAACGGCUUACCAAGGCAACGAUGCGUAGCCGACCUGAGAGGGUGAUCGGCCACACUGGAACUGAGACACGGUCCAGACUCCUACGGGAGGCAGCAGUAGGGAAUCUUCCGCAAUGGGCGAAAGCUUGACGGAGCAACGCCGCGUGAGUGAUGAAGGUCUUCGGAUCGUAAAACUCUGUUAUUAGGGAAGAACAAAUGUGUAAGUAACUAUGCACGUCUUGACGGUACCUAAUCAGAAAGCCACGGCUAACUACGUG